ACUCUCCAGUCUCCUUCCCUAUAUGUUCUAAACACUGGUCUGAAUAGUUACAAAGGGAGGAAAGUAAUGCUGAAACUGGACUCCGAUGAUUUUGUAGCACGGGGGCUGGUUUCAGACACCU
rnacentral:snoRNA from 1 species